UACGAAGGGGGCUAGCGUUGCUCGGAAUCACUGGGCGUAAAGGGUGCGUAGGCGGCCAGAUAAGUCAGUGGUGAAAGCCUGUUGCUUAACAACAGAACUGCCAUUGAUACUGUUUGGCUUGAGUACAGAUGCUGUGGGCGGAAUAUGACAUGUAGUGGUGAAAUACAUAGAGAUGUCAUAGAACACCGAUUGCGAAGGCAGCUCACAAAACUGUAACUGACGCUGAGGCACGAAAGCGUGGGGAUCAAACAGG
rnacentral:rRNA from 1 species